rnacentral:piRNA from 1 species
UCGUGCACAUAAGAACCCACACCGGUGAGA